rnacentral:rRNA from 1 species
ACGGCGAGUGAAGCGGGAACAGCUCAAAUUUGAAAUCUCCUUCGGGCGAAUUGUAGUUUAGAGAAGUGUUUUCUAGGUCAGCUCGGGCAUAGGUCCGUUGGAAAGCGGCAUCAUAGAGGGUGAGAAUCCCGUUGGUGGUCCGAAGCCUGAUCUUUUGUGAUACACUUUCAAAGAGUCGAGUUGUUUGGGAAUGCAGCUCAAAAUGGGUGGUAAAUACCAUCUAAAGCUAAAUAUUGGCGAGAGACCGAUAGCGAACAAGUACCGUGAGGGAAAGAUAAAAAGAACUUUGAAAAGAGAGUUAAACAGUACGUGAAAUUGUUAAAAGGGAAACGCUUGAAAUCAGUGUUGUGAACAGUAAUCAGCUGCUCGUGAGAGCAGUGCACUUGCUGGGAACAGGUCAACAUCAGUUUGUCCUGGGGUAAAAAGCCUCGAAGCUGUCCUUGUGGCAGAAUCGGGGUCAUGCCUUGGGAUGGACUGAGGUCU